GUGUUGACGAACAGAGCCCUCGGAAAGCUCCACUGACCGGUGAACUGCGGAUCUCCGGCGGUUUUUAGGUUUGCUGAGGUAGCGAUACAGAGAAAGCCUGCUGAUUGAUAAAAGUCAUCCAAUGGAAGCUAAAUUCUUCCGCUUUCUCAAGAUUGUUGGAGUUGGUUUCAAGGCUAGGGCAGAAUCAGAAGGUCGUCUCUUGUACCUUAAGCUGGGUUACAGCCAUGAGGUUGAACUGACCGUGCCUCCUGCAGUUCGUGUCUUCUGUUUCAAACCCAAUGUGGUUUGCUGCACUGGGAUUGACAAGUAUAGGGUACACCAAUUUGCUGCCUCUGUAAGGAGCUGUAAACCUCCUGAAGUUUACAAGGGC
rnacentral:misc_RNA from 1 species